GUUUUUAUUAUAGUUGAAUAUCCACAUCUAAUGGCGACAAAGAUAAGAGCAAAGCAGUAUAUGAUACUUUAAAACAUUCUAUGGAUUUCUCCACACUGAUUCCUGUUGUAUCCUGGUUAAUAAGUUCUUUGUGCAGAUGACCUUUAUAUUAACAUAGGCAAUAAAAUAUUGACGUUUUAGGUAUUCUGCUGAAUCCCAGACUUCCAGUUUCUCAGCAUCUUUAAUGUAGAACAGGCAAAUAAAACACUUUAGAAUUUUGUUGUGUUUUGUUUUUUUGGAAUGUGCAGAAAUACUUAUAAAAUUAGUGCUUCUAAUUAAUGCUUCAGUGAUUCCAGUGAUUGCUUAACACACAGCACGUAAAGAUACAUAACAUGACAUUUAAAUAACAGAUGUUUUUACCCAGGUGUAAGUUAUGUAAGUCUCCAGACUGCAAUUGAGUUUCCAAGAGUUGGUUGCUCCUUUUGUGCUUCUUCUUUUAUCUGUAAUGGCCCUGUCAAGCUCAACAUGACAAUAAUUACAGGAAGGUACUAUAAAGUGUUGUAGCACAGCUGAAUGAUUCCAAUAUUCACCUUGAACAUUGCCUGAUUUUAGUUUCACAUGCUGAAGUGCAUUAUUAAUGUUUUAUAAUGAUUCUGUGUUUGACCAGGCUUGUUUCACAUUGCUCUUGUAUUGAUAUCCCUCAACUGGUUAGACUUUCCAAUUAUGAAUUCCAGGUUCUCCAGACCACUUUCUUAAAGAAAUCUUCUAUUUUCUUUGACCAUAAUCUUCAAAUACUUUAAGUCCCACGAUAAAAUUCAGUAAUGCAUUAUAUCUCAUUCUUCUUAUAUUUCAUCUUAUGCUGUAUUAUAGUGUAUUUAAAGGAUGUCAACUAUAUUGCAUCAGACCAGUCCCUGAUAGGCUUGUUUUAUAGAACCCAAAUGCAUCUCAAGCAGGUUAAUAAUACCUGCUUAGAAAAAAGUAGAAAAACAUGAACUGAUAAGAAGUGGUCUCAGACAUGUAAACAAACAUCAUGUUAAUCAUCUUGACAAGCACAUUUAAAAAAAUGUAGACCAUCACGGUACCAUGAAUAAUGAGUAAUUUUCUUCAUGAUGUGUUUGGAAAACUGGCCUUGAUUUAAUGUCUUUGGAUAUGCUUUUCAAAUGAUUUAAUAUUUAUGAAAAAGCUUUUCAAAUGAUUUAAUAUUUUUGGAUAAAGUUUUCAUUUUUUUUUUUUCAAAAUAGUC